rnacentral:lncRNA from 1 species
UCCUGAUGACGUCGAACCCGCGUCCUUGGCGCGGCCAUGUGUGAAGCCUGACGCACAGGAGACACAGCGGACGUUUUUCCAAAUUGAAAGGCCAGCGGGAGUGACCCUGCGAGAACAAUGAAAGGGUCCCUCUCCAGGUGCUUACCCUCUAACGGAAAGUGGGAGAGAUCGUCCAGGCUCUAGGUCGCACAAGGCAAACAAGGCGUUUGGGUAAAUCCCACCGAGCACCGAAAGACGAUCGCUUCUAGUCGCCUGCGGCAAUUAACUCAAGUUUCAAAGGCCAGAACUCGCCACCACCGCUGUAACGGCAAACGGGAAACACCAAAAGGCACCUAGGACUUGGAAGCUGAAAGCAAACUUUAUUUACAUGGACGGGCCUGGUCGGGGUAGUUCCUCAAAGAACCAGGCAACUUGCUUUUUGUUCUUCUACAGUUUAUAUAGGGUUUUUGUAAGUAGGAACUGUGAGACCAAAAGUGAACCUAAGCAAGCCAUCUUGGCCUGUUCAUGGUUUCUUAGAAGGAGAUCCUUACUGAACCAAGACCUGUUCUUAUCUGAUAGGAGCCCAAUGAUAUUUGAUGAUGGCUGGGGAGUUACAGAAGUUAUUUGCCAUGUUUUCCAAUAUACAAGGAAAUCGAACUUCUGGAUGGGGCCUCUCCCACAAUCACUGCA